rnacentral:rRNA from 1 species
UACGGAGGGUGCGAGCGUUGUCCGGAAUCACUGGGCGUAAAGGGCGCGUAGGUGGUCCCGUAAGCGUGUGGUGAAAGCCCGAGGCUCAACCUCGGGUCGGCCAUGCGAACUGCGGGACUGGAGCACUGUAGAGGCAGGUGGAAUUCCGGGUGUAGCGGUGGAAUGCGUAGAGAUCCGGAAGAACACCGGUGGCGAAGGCGGCCUGCUGGGCAGUUGCUGACACUGAGGCGCGACAGCGUGGGGAGCAAACAGG